UACGGAGGGGGCCAGCGUUGUUCGGAAUCAUUGGGCGUAAAGGGCGCGUAGGCGGCCGAUCAAGUCGGAGGUGAAAUCCCUCGGCUCAACUGAGGAAUUGCCUCUGAUACUGUUCGGCUUGAGUCCUGGAGAGGGUAGUGGAAUUCCCAGUGUAGCGGUGAAAUGCGUAGAGACUGGGAAGAACACCAGUGGCGAAGGCGGCUACCUGGACAGGUACUGACGCUGAAGCGCGAAAGCUAGGGGAGCAAACAGG
rnacentral:rRNA from 1 species